GUAGUACUCCCUCCGUUCGGAAUUACUCGUCCAAGAAAUGAAUGUAUCUAGAUGUAUUUUAGUUGUAGAUACAUUCAUUUUUGUGACAAGUAAUUCCGAAUGGAGGGAGUACAAC
rnacentral:pre_miRNA from 1 species